UACGUAGGGUGCGAGCGUUAAUCGGAAUUACUGGGCGUAAAGCGUGCGUAGGCGGUUCGUUAAGUUCGUCGUGAAAGCCCCGGGCUCAACCUGGGAAUGGCGAUGGAAACUGGCGGGCUGGAGUAUGGCAGAGGGGGGUGGAAUUCCGCGUGUAGCAGUGAAAUGCGUAGAGAUCGGGAGGAACACCUGUGGCGAAGGCGGCCCCCUGGGCCGGCCCUGACACUGAGACGCGAAGGCGUGGGGAGCGAACGGG
rnacentral:rRNA from 1 species